UAAGUUGCGCAAAGGUACAUUUUAAUGCCAUGCGUAGCCACGGAGAGAGGCGCGACGACACACCGAUGCCAACCAAGCCACCCGCCAGCGCGACACCCGCUCACCACACGGCGACAAAUGGGUGCUUCUUUGAAAGAAAUACGCGAGCGUAUUUCCAUGGCGACGCCCCACUCUUGGACUAAACGGCGUACGGACAGCCAAUAAUAUCGCGCGCACAUACACGAACAAAGGGUCGACAGGCAGGGGUACUGAAGGACUACAAACUUUACCAGUGCUUGUAAAAUUUAUAGAAAAUGCACAGUUAUGCUGACUCAAAGAUUGAUCAAGGUUUGAGGAAGAUCCCGGACAAGUUCUUCACUCCACAUGACUUCGGUACUUUCUACCAGUGAUCUUACAUGCUCUUGAAGCCGGCGUUGAAGAGACUUCACACAUGACUUCUUAGAUGAAACCAGAG